CCAACUGGGAUUACCUUAGUAACGGCGAGUGAAGCGGUAAAAGCUCAAAUUUGAAAUCUGGUACUUUCAGUGCCCGAGUUGUAAUUUGUAGAAUUUGUCUUUGAUUAGGUCCUUGUCUAUGUUCCUUGGAACAGGACGUCAUAGAGGGUGAGAAUCCCGUUUGGCGAGGAUACCUUUUCUCUGUAAGACUUUUUCGAAGAGUCGAGUUGUUUGGGAAUGCAGCUCAAAGUGGGUGGUAAAUUCCAUCUAAAGCUAAAUAUUGGCGAGAGACCGAUAGCGAACAAGUACAGUGAUGGAAAGAUGAAAAGAACUUUGAAAAGAGAGUGAAAAAGUACGUGAAAUUGUUGAAAGGGAAGGGCAUUUGAUCAGACAUGGUGUUUUUUGCAUGCACUCGCCUCUCGUGGGCUUGGGCCUCUCAAAAAUUUCACUGGGCCAACAUCAAUUCUGGCAGUAGGAUAAAUCAUUAAGAAUGUAGCUACCUCGGUAGUGUUAUAGCUUAUUGGAAUACUGCUAGCUGGGAUUGAGGACUGCGCUUCGGCAAGGAUGUUGGCA
rnacentral:rRNA from 1 species